CAGGCUAGCAGAACGCUGAGAACGAUGGUUGCAAUGAGUUCAGGAGUUGCUGAGGACGCAGGAACCUCUUCCACAUCAGCAGUGACAGAGUUUUCAGAUUAAGGAGAAUCUCAAUUCCCAUCGUUGGUUGCAAAUACAGAAGACAAAGAAAUGUCCUGUGUUCACUGCCCUGAUUCAAGUCGUAAAGUCCUUUGAAGGAAAGUUACCUGAAGACUGGACUUGUGUAGCAGAACCAGGAUCAAACCCCAGCAUGAGCAUCUACUGUCACUAUAUAAUCUGUUGAAGUACUAGAGCCAAAGACUUCAUUGCUGGGCCGUGCUCCAGAAUCCUGAAAGGAUGCAGAGCAGAUCACCAGACGUAUCUGAAGAUGGGAGUUCCAUUAGGUCUCAGUGCAGGGUUCUCAGUCUGGCAACUUUCAUAAGCAAUGUCAUGUUUUAUAUAAAAGAAUAGUGAA